rnacentral:rRNA from 1 species
AUUGAACGCUGGCGGCAUGCCUUACACAUGCAAGUCGAACGGCAGCGCAGGAGCAAUCCUGGCGGCGAGUGGCGAACGGGUGAGUAAUAUAUCGGAACGUGCCCAGUAGUGGGGGAUAGCCCGGCGAAAGCCGGAUUAAUACCGCAUACGACCUACGGGUGAAAGGGGGGGAUCGCAAGACCUCUCGCUAUUGGAGCGGCCGAUAUCAGAUUAGGUAGUUGGUGGGGUAAAGGCCUACCAAGCCUGCGAUCUGUAGUUGGUCUGAGAGGACGACCAGCCACACUGGGACUGAGACACGGCCCAGACUCCUACGGGAGGCAGCAGUGGGGAAUUUUGGACAAUGGGCGCAAGCCUGAUCCAGCAAUGCCGCGUGCAGGAAGAAGGCCUUCGGGUUGUAAACUGCUUUUGUACGGAACGAAACGGUCUGGGUUAAUACCCUGGGCUAAUGACAGUACCGUAAGAAUAAGCACCGGCUAACUACGUGCCAGCCGCCGCAGUAAAAC